rnacentral:rRNA from 1 species
GACGGGUAUCCGGCCUGAGAGGGUGAACGGACACACUGGAACUGAGACACGGUCCAGACUCCUACGGGAGGCAGCAGUAGGGAAUAUUGCUCAAUGGGGGAAACCCUGAAGCAGCAACGCCGCGUGGAGGAUGAAGGUUUUCGGAUUGUAAACUCCUUUUGUUAGAGAAGAUAAUGACGGUAUCUAACGAAUAAGCACCGGCUAACUCCGUGCCAGCAGCCGCGGUAAUACGGAGGGUGCAAGCGUUACUCGGAAUCACUGGGCGUAAAGAGCGCGUAGGCGGAAUAGCAAGGUCAGAUGUGAAAUCCUAUGGCUUAACCAUAGAACUGCAUUUGAAACUGUUAUUCUAGA